ensembl:misc_RNA Metazoa_SRP Metazoan signal recognition particle RNA
GCCGGGUGCGGUGGCACGUGCCUGGAGUCCCAGCUAUUAGGGAGGCUGAGGCUGGAGGAUCUCAUGAGUCCAGGAGUUCUGGGCUGUAGUGCGCUAUGCCGAUCGGGUGUCCACACUAAGUUCGGCAUCAAUAUGGUGAUCUCCCAGGAACAGGGGACCACCAAGGUUGCCUAAGGAGUGGGAAACUGGCCCAGGUUGGAAACAGAGGAGAUCAAAAUUCCCGUGCUGGUCAGUAAUGGGAUUGUGCCUGUGAAUAGCCACUGCACUCCAGCCUGGGCAACAUAGCGAGACCCAGUCUCUU